rnacentral:rRNA from 1 species
CGUGAGUAACCUGCCUGGAGUGGGGAAUAACAGCUGGAAACAGACUGCUAAUACCGCAUAAUGCAGUUGGGCCGCAUGGCUCUGACUGCCAAAGAUUUAUCGCUCUGGGAUGGACUCGCGUCUGAUUAGCUAGUUGGUGGGGGCAACGGCCCACCAAGGCGACGAUCAGUAGCCGGACUGAGAGGUUGGCCGGCCACAUUGGGACUGAGACACGGCCCAAACUCCUACGGAAGGCAGCAG